UUCAAGUGACAAAGUUCAAGAUCAAAGAAACAGAUCACGGGUGGAUGUGUUUUUCAAAUAUGGAAUAUUAAAUUGGCAAAGAUCAAGCACAACAUACAGAUCAUGGACAAAGGUGUUGUUAGAUCUGGAGCACAUACGGGCUACCAUGGAAACGAACCUCUACAUCUAGGCAGUGGUGCAAAUGGAAAACAAACAUUCAGAUCUACAAAGUUGUACGGCAGAUUCUGGAGUACAAAACGGUUACCAUGGAAACAUACAUCUAGGCAGUGGUAUAGAUGGAUGACCGACGUCUAGAUCUGCAAAGUUAUACAGCAUAUUUUGGAGAAUACAUGGUAUGAAGUUUACUUUUAAUUUCUUGUAACACUAUGAUACAUUUGUUUCUGUCUUUACACAUGCCUUUCUGUAUCUUAUGCAUUCAGCAGGGUUACCACGGAAACGAAUAUAUACCUAAAGGCAAUGAUAUAAACGGAAUGCAGACGUUCAGAUACACAAAGUUUUACAGCAGAUGAAGCAUGUAAGGUGUGUAUGUUUACUUUUUCUUCGUUUUGGCAACAUUGUUAUGUUUGUUUUUGUUUUUACACAUGCCUGUCUGUAUCUUAUACAAACAACAGGUUUAGCACGGAAACGCAUGUCCACAUCAAUGCAAUGGUAUAAAUGGAUAACCGACGUUCAGAUGUACUAAGUUAUACAGCAAAUUUUGGAACAUAAAGGGUUUGUAUAUUUACUUUUCUUUUGAUGUGUAAUUUGUAUAAAGGUAAUACUAAGAUUAUAUAUGUUUGUUUCUGUUCUUACACAUGCAUUUCUCUAUCUAUACACUAAACAGGGUUACCAUGGAAACGUACCUCUUCAUCUAGGCAAUGGUAUAAACUGAUGACCGGCGUUCAAGUCCCUGGCAAAGAGAGAAAUCCAGCUGUCGAUCAAGCGCUACAGGUUUAGCUUUAAAUAAUCUAAGCCUUGCUAAGACCUGAAAAUAAAUGUCAGGCAAAACUGAAACAAAAGCAAAAUUACUGGAUGCACUUAAAGAGCACCUAAUCUAUCUUGUAUAUUUUCGCUUCGUAAUACUGUAUGUUUAGUGUAUGCUGUUUUGUCAGGGAUCUGUUUGCAGUGGCUACUUGGUUGUUUUUGUGGUGGUGUUUGUAGUGGUGUUUUUGUGUAUAUGGAGGUGUCUGUGGUGGUUUCAAUGUGGUCUUCUCGGUUUUAUUCUUGAUGGUUGUAUUGUUUUGUUGAAAACGGGCAUUUGGUGCGUUUUGUUUGUUGUAUUGGGCUGUUCGUCAUGGUGUUUUUUCUUUCUGCCAUUACCAAUGUAUUAUUACUCGCUUUGUAUACUGUAGAAAAUUAUUAGAAUAAGUUCAAUAUUACAUUGUGUUAUAACUUUACUUGUCCAGCAAAUUUUAGAUACCCGGAAACACAUAUGAAGAUAUAUGCGGACGAAUAGGCAUCAUGUGCAGACGAAGGCUUGGACUGGGAAGCGUGCGCCGUUGUUUUAUUUCUGCUUUUUAUUCCUUUUGUUUUGCAUUGCUUUCCCACUAGACUAUUGGGGCACGUGAAGAACGAAGACGCAGACGGAUAUUGAAGAUGCAUACCAGACAAAAUUUGGGUUACUGUUUAUCACGAACAGGUGCGUAUGUUGCUUUUUAUAUUAUUCUAUUUUGUAUGCAUCUCUUCGCAGAAUUUUCAAGUUGAAUACAAGCCGGUGUAAAGAUGUCGCAUUGUAGAUGACACAAUGGUCUAGUGGAUGGUGAAGAUAGCGCGGCUGAUGUUGACUGUACAGACACGCGUUAAGAUGUCAUGCUGUAGAUGUGACAAUGGUUUUGUGGACGACGCAGCUUGGUUCUUCUUUUUGGACGCACUGAGGAAGCAGAGGUCAAUUGUCCACUUGGAGUAAUUCAAUAGCAUGGCAAUGUGGACACCGAUCCUGGUAUUGAUAAAAGAAGUACUCGAAAUAUCCGACGAAAAGCAAUUUCUUGGAUUAUACACGAAGAAAAUGUUAGUUAAUGGAACAAUAGCAGCAGUAGAACUACCUUGCUGGUACCCAAACGAAGCCGGUCAUCAGAUGUGCAUUGAAACCCUAUCAAACCCUUGCGUUACCAUGGUAAUCAGCCGUUAUCAACAAGAUCUAAAAGGCAAGAAGACAGUUUUUGCCAUUAUUGAAAGACAUAGGAAAAAAAGCAAUGACAGAAAACAAAUAUCACCAUACCGUCUUGUCUUGAAUGUUUCCAACAGCUGACAGUCCGAUGUAAGCCAGAUUCACAAGUAAGAAGUAUCUGCAGAAGAAAGAACCAAUUAUGAUAGAUCCACGACAGUCCUGGCACAAGCAAACAUGACAUCACCACAGCCCUGACACAAGCCUUGUUGAGAUUAGAUAUAAACUAACAUGUAUAUAAUUAUACCUUCAUGUACAAAGUAACACGGGAUUAUAUUGGAGUCACACUUGUCAGCGAGUCCGUUCGUCCGUUCGCCUAUCUGUCCAUUAUGUCCGCUGGGAAGAUUUAAAAAAAUGGCUUCAUUUAUUAGCCUCAACAAGAAUGUUCGUUGUGCACAACCCAAGUUACUAGGCCCAAGGUCAGUAUUACUCUUGGAGGACAAAGAUCAAAUAACUUUAAUUUAGUGUCCGCUCCAUAUUGUCUUAACUGCAACGAAUAUUUAGGUCAGGCAUUCGUUAUUGUACUCGCCCUGUCUUCAGGGUCACUGUCACCGUUGCAUUCAGGUUAAACUUUUAUAUGAAUCUCAAAAUAACUAUAUUUUCUUAACUACUGCCCAUAUUAGCAUCAAACUUCACAUUUGUGGUAAAACGCAGACAUUUAUUUGUUAGGGGCCAAGCAUCCAAAAGGUCAAAGGUACUUGGGUCAUAUUUUGUAAUUGUGCUGGUUAAAUCUUAGAUAGUUUCUUAUAUCUUCUCAUUCACCCGCCCCUACCCCCUACUCUACCCCCAAAAGGAAAAGAGUCUUACUUAUCACUCACGCUUACUUAUAUCCUACAGCAAUAAAUAUUGGUCAGCAUUUCCGAAUAGUCACGCGGGCAUUCCUUACAACAGUUCUUGAUAUAAAAUUAGUAUUAGUAAAUAGAUGUAAGCACGCACAACCUAGUUCAUUCGGUCAAAGGUCAAGUUCUGACUUAAAAGACCGCGCCAUAUUGUCUAAUCUAAUAAAGUAAGCACUAACUGUCAAUUCCAUCCAGCCACUAAGUUAUAGGUCAGUGUGACACAUAUGAGGUCAAAGGUCAAAUAGCUUUGUGUCUGCUACAUAUCUUGUAACCCCAUUUUCCAUACACUCAUAAAACUAGCAAUAAAUAUCAAGAAGACCUGUAUAGAACCCAGAUUAUUAGAUCCAAGGUCAAGGUUACGCUUGAAUGUCAAAAUGAUCAAACAACAUUGACUUACCCUGCAUCAAAGCAGCGUCUGGGGGUAACAAUAGCUCUAGUUUAUCAUUUUUAGCGGACUAAAUUUGUAAUUGUAUCAACCAUUCGACAAAUAUUUCCUAAACUUUAGGAUAAAUAUUUAAAACAAAAAUCAGGAAAUUGUUUGUUUUUUUAACACUGAUACAGUCGGACUAUUUUUAGACACAGCGAAUAUUUUAGCUUGAUUUGUUGUCAGUCAUGAUUUUAUGCAAGGUAUUUUUCUAAAUGAUAUUUUUAUUACAAAUACAAAAUGUAGCACAUUUGACAUUAAUGUAAAAAAGCAGGGACAGCGAAUUUUGUAAG
rnacentral:lncRNA from 1 species